GCAUUGGUGGUUCAGUGGUAGAAUUCUCACCAUCCAUGAAGAAGACACAGGUUCAAGUCCUGGUCAGUGCA
rnacentral:tRNA from 1 species